rnacentral:rRNA from 1 species
GACGAACGCUGGCGGCGUGCCUAAUACAUGCAAGUCGACCUUAGUGGCGGACGGGUGAGUAAUGCCUAGGAAUCUGCCUGGUAGUGGGGGAUAACGUCCGGAAACGGGCGCUAAUACCGCAUACUAUCAGAUGAGCCUAGGUCGGAUUAGGUAGUUGGGGGGGUAAUGGCCUACCAAGCCGACGAUCUCUAGCUGGUCUGAGAGGAUGACCAGCCACACCGGGACUGAGACACGGCCCGGACUCCUACGGGAGGCAGCAGUGGGGAAUAUUGCGCAAUGGGGGCAACCCUGACACAGCCAUGCCGCGUGAAUGAAGAAGGCCUUCGGGUUGUAAAGCACUUUAAGUUGGGAGGCGUUACCAACAGAAUAAGCACCGGCUAACUUCGUGCCAGCAGCCGCGGUAAUUC